UGGAAACUNUCUGACUUGAGUGCAGAAGGGGAGAGUGGAAUUCCAUGUGUAGCGGUGAAAUGCGUAGAUAUAUGGAGGAACACCAGUGGCGAAAGCGGCUCUCUGNUCUGUCACUGACGCUGAGGCUCGAAAGCGUGGGUAGCGAACAGGAUUAGAUACCCUGGUAGUNCACGCCGUAAACGAUGAGUGCUAGGUGUUAGGCCCUUUCCGGGGCUUAGUGCCGGAGCUAACGCAAUAAGCACUCCGCCUGGGGAGUACGACCGCAAGGUUGAAACUCAAAGGAAUUGACGGGGGCCCGCACAAGCGGUGGAGCAUGUGGUUUAAUUCGAAGCAACGCGAAGAACCUUACCAGGUCUUGACAUCCCGAUGCUAUUCUUAGAGAUAGGAAGUUACUUCGGUACAUCGGAGACAGGUGGUGCAUGGUUGUCGUCAGCUCGUGUCGUGAGAUGUUGGGUUAAGUCCCGCAACGAGCGCAACCCUUAUUGUUAGUUGCCAUCAUUAAGUUGGGCACUCUAGCGAGACUGCCGGUAAUAAACCGGAGGAAGGUGGGGAUGACGUCAAAUCAUCAUGCCCCUUAUGACCUGGGCUACACACGUGCUACAAUGGUCGGUACAACGAGUUGCGAGCCGGUGACGGCAAGCUAAUCUCUGAAAGCCGAUCUCAGUUCGGAUUGGAGGCUGCAACUCGCCUCCAUGAAGUCGGAAUCGCUAGUAAUCGCGGAUCAGCACGCCGCGGUGAAUACGUUCCCGGGCCUUGUACACACCGCCCGUCACACCACGAGAGUUAGUAACACCCGAAGUCGGUGAGGUANCCUUUUAGGG
rnacentral:rRNA from 1 species